UACGUAGGGUGCAAGCGUUGUCCGGAAUUAUUGGGCGUAAAGAGCUCGUAGGCGGUUUGUCGCGUCUGCUGUGAAAUCCCAGGGCUUAACCCUGGGCCUGCAGUGGGUACGGGCAGGCUAGAGUUCGGUAGGGGAGACUGGAAUUCCUGGUGUAGCGGUGAAAUGCGCAGAUAUCAGGAGGAACACCGGUGGCGAAGGCGGGUCUCUGGGCCGAUACUGACGCUGAGGAGCGAAAGCGUGGGGAGCGAACAGG
rnacentral:rRNA from 1 species